rnacentral:lncRNA from 1 species
UUAAUAAUUUAUUUUUAAGUAAUAUUUUGAUGUUAAUUAAUUAGAUAAUAUAAUUUUAAUUUCAAAUUAUAACUUUUAUUCCUCUUGUUCCAAUUUAACCAUCCAAACGCUAUUUAUCUUAUUCCUAGAAACAACUUAAUUUUUAUCCAAAUGCAAAAUUAGUCUAGUUCCUGCUUAGACCAGAACUUGUAUCUAUCUCUAGAACAAGCAGUUCUUACUUAUACCUGAACCAAACGCAGCCUAAAUAUUUUUUCACAAAUAACUCCUCUAAAAAAUAUAAUUGCAGAAAUGUCCCUCUUCCACGCUAAUCAGUAAGAAUUGUUAUUGUCAUAUGUAAGUUGAACACAAAAGUUUAAAAAAGAAUUGUUAUUGUGACUUAAUAAAAAAAUAAAUGCGAUAAUUCAAUUACGAUGCUGUGGAAUUGAACAUGGUAUAUGAAUUACG